UACAGAGGUCCCGAGCGUUGUUCGGAUUCACUGGGCGUAAAGGGUGCGCAGGUGGUUUGGCAAGUUUGAUGUGAAAGCCCCGGGCUUAACCCGGGAAUGGCAUUGAAUACUGCUUGAACUGGAGGGUUGGAGGGGGGACUGGAAUUCUUGGUGUAGUAGUGAAAUGCGUAGAUAUCAAGAGGAACACCAGUGGCGAAGGCGAGUCCCUGGACAAACCCUGACACUGAGGCACGAAAGCCAAGGGAGCAAACAGG
rnacentral:rRNA from 1 species